UCUUUCACAUUACUUAUUAUUUUCUUAUUAUGACUGGAAUAAAAAUAAACAAUUUCGAAAUCUAAAUGAUUAA
rnacentral:tRNA from 1 species